rnacentral:rRNA from 1 species
UACGGGGGGAGCAAGCGUUGUUCGGAUUUACUGGGCGUAAAGCGUGCGUAGGUGGUGAGUUAAGUCUGUCGUGAAAGCCCCGGGCUCAACCUGGGAAUGGCGAUGGAUACUGGCUCGCUAGAGUGCGGUAGAGGAGAGUGGAAUUCCCGGUGUAGCAGUGAAAUGCGUAGAGAUCGGGAGGAACAUCAGUUGCGAAGGCGGCUCGUCGUGGACCAGCACUG